rnacentral:rRNA from 1 species
UUUUCAUAAUAGCGGAGGAAAGAAACCAACAGGGAUUGCCCUAGUAACGGCGAGUGAAGCGGCAACAGCUCAAAUUUGAAAUCUGGCGUCUUCGGCGUCCGAGUUGUAAUUUGCAGAGGGCGCUUUGGCAUUGGCAGCGGUCCAAGUUCCUUGGAACAGGACGUCACAGAGGGUGAGAAUCCCGUACGUGGUCGCUAGCCUUUACCGUGUAAAGCCCCUUCGACGAGUCGAGUUGUUUGGGAAUGCAGCUCUAAAUGGGAGGUAAAUUUCUUCUAAAGCUAAAUACUGGCCAGAGACCGAUAGCGCACAAGUAGAGUGAUCGAAAGAUGAAAAGCACUUUGGAAAGAGAGUUAAAAAGCACGUGAAAUUGUUGAAAGGGAAGCGCUUGCAGCCAGACUUGCCUGUAGUUGCUCAUCCGGGUUUCUACCCGGUGCACUCUUCUAUAGGCAGGCCAGCAUCAGUUUGGGCGGUUGGAUAAAGGUCUCUGUCAUGUACCUCCUUUCGGGGAGAACUUAUAGGGGAGACGACAUGCAACCAGCCCGGACUGAGGUCCGCGCAUCUGCUAGGAUGCUGGCGUAAUGGCUGUAAGCGGCCCGUCUUGAAACACGGACCAAGGAGUCUAACAUCUAUGCGAGUGUUUGGGUGUCAAGCCCGAACGCGUAAUGAAAGUGAACGGAGGUGGGAACCUUUCGGGGUGCACCAUCGACCGAUCCUGAUGUCUUCGGAUGGAUUUGAGUAAGAGCAUAGCUGUUGGGACCCGAAAGAUGGUGAACUAUGCUUGAAUAGGGUGAAGCCAGAGGAAACUCUGGUGGAGGCUCGCAGCGGUUCUGACGUGCAAAUCGAUCGUCAAAUUUGGGCAUAGGGGCGAAAGACUAAUCGAACUUAUUGAGUUC